UUUUGUUCAAAGUGCUGUUGGAUUGAUUUUGCAGAUGUCAUUUGCUUUCCUUUUCCCACUUCAGCUUCCUCCAAAAGGCUGAGAUGAUAUUACACAGACCAUUGCAACGCCACCUAAGUGCAAACAUGAACUAAUAUGGUGUGGAAGAAUACGUAAAUGAAUUUGUUGACAAGGCACCAGAGCCAGAUGAGAUGCGAGAAUGUUGAAGGAAGUGAGAGUGAAAAUCGUGGAGGCACCGCCCAAAAUCUCUCGUCCUGAGGAGAAGACUUGGAGAGAUACCAGAAGACUAGAGAACUUCAAACAUCAUGCCCUUAUUCAAAAAAAUUUUGAAAGGAUAAACCCAGAAAUUACAAAAAAGUAAUGACUCAUUAUUGGCGUACAGUUCCACAAAGAGUAGGACUCCAAAUGCUCGUCAGAUGGUCACCUUUGCAUGUUUGGACACAGGGCACGCUAUACAGAAGAAUGAAUUACAUUCAGUUUUGAAAAGAAAUGUGGAUCUACCAUUGAGACUUUGAGUACAUCAUUUCUCACAAGGCAAUAUGCAACCGUCUUUCUCAUAAGGAAAACUGUCUUCCUGAGAACUGAACCACAUUUUGCACAGCAGAAGAGGAAGAGAGAAAAAGUGAUAAGCCACAAAUUAAAAAUAAGCAAUUUGCAUCAUUGUCUUACAUGUUUGUAAACAAAAAAUGAUUUGUUAAAAAUAGCACUGUAAAGGUGGUGGUGUUCAUUUCAACCUGCAACUUUGCUGAACAUUGUUGUCCUUGAAGAACAGAGGUUUGCAAACAAGCCUUGUCCAAUCUUUCCAGCAAUAACGUUAAGAAUCAUAAGUUACAGCUUCAGUAUUUUGAAUUGUGUAACGAACAAAAAAUAAUAAUUUCUGUCUCUCAGAUGAGUUAAUAGGAGAAAUUUUAUCUUGACCCAUUGGAAGCAUCAACGGAAUUGUAUCCCAGUUUGAAACCCCAGACGAAAAGAUAAAUAGAGAGAAAAAAAUAAUAUUGAACAAUAAAAAAUGAUUCUA